rnacentral:tRNA from 2 species
UGAAGUAGCUCAGUCGGUAGAGCAACGCACUCGUAAUGCGUAGGUCGCAGGUUCGAUUCCCGUCUUCAGC